rnacentral:rRNA from 1 species
UAUAGUGGCCUUGUCAAAGCCUGAUCUCAUCUGAUCUUUGAAGCAACGCAGGGUCGGACCUGGUUAGCACUUGGAUGGAAAACCACUGGGAAUUUCAGGUGCCACAGUGG